rnacentral:rRNA from 1 species
GAUGAACGCUGGUGGCGUGCCUAAUACAUGCAAGUCGAGCGAACAGACGAGGAGCUUGCUCCUCUGACGUUAGCGGCGGACGGGUGAGUAACACGUGGAUAACCUACCUAUAAGACUGGGAAAAUUUCGGGAAACCGGAUCUUAUACCGGAUAAUAUAUUGAACCGUAUGGUGCAAUAGUGAAAUACGGUUUUUCUGUCACUUAUAGAGGGAUCCGCGCCGCAUUAGCUAGUUGGUAAGGUAACGGCUUAUCAAGGCAACGAUGCGUAGACGACCUGAGAGGCUGGUCGGCCACACUGGAACUGAGACACCGUCCAUGCUCCUACGAGAGGCCGCAGUAGGGAACCUUCGGCAAUGGGCGAAAGCAUGACGCAGCAACGCCGCGUGAGUGAUGAAGGUCUUCCGAUCGUAAAACUCUGUUAUUAGGGAAGAACCAAUGUGUAAGUAACUAUGCACGUCUUGACGGUAACUAAUCAGAAAGCCCCGGCUAACUACGUG